rnacentral:misc_RNA from 1 species
GAUGAAGAACGUAGUGAAAUGCGAUAAGUAAUGUGAAUUGCAGAAUUCAGUGAAUCAUCGAAUCUUUGAACGCACAUUGCGCCCGGUAGUAUUCUGCCGGGCAUGCCUGUUCGAGCGUCAUUUCAACCAUCAAGCCCCAGCGCUUGUGUUGGGGGCCUGCGGCUGCCGCAGCCCCCCAAAAGCAGUGGCGGGCUCGCUAUCACACCGAGUGCAGUAGUUCAUCUUCUCUCCGGUCUUGUGAGGUGGGUUCCGGCCGUGAAACACCCCACUACAUUCAAGGUUGACCUCGGAUCAGGUAGGAAUACCCGCUGAACUUAAGCAUAUCAAUAAGCGGAGGA